GUAAGGCCCUUCGGGGUACACGAGCGGCGAACGGGUGAGUAACACGUGAGCAAUCUGCCCUUCUCUUUGGAAUAACCAUUGGAAACGAUGGCUAAUGCCGAAUAUGACCUCCUUUCGCAUGUUUGGAGGUGGAAAGCUCCGGCGGAGAAGGAUGAGCUCGCGGCCUAUCAGCUUGUUGGUGAGGUAAUGGCUCACCAAGGCAUUGACGGGUAGCCGGCCUGAGAGGGUGACCGGCCACACUGGGACUGAGACACGGCCCAGACUCCUACGGGAGGCAGCAGUGGGGAAUAUUGGACAAUGGGCGAAAGCCUGAUCCAGCAACGCCGCGUGAGGGAUGACGGCCUUCGGGUUGUAAACCUCUUUCAGCAGGGACGAAGCGAAAGUGACGGUACCUGCAGAAGAAGGACCGGCCAACUACGUGCCAGCAGCCGCGGUAAUACGUAGGGUCCGAGCGUUGUCCGGAAUUAUUGGGCGUAAAGGGCUCGUAGGCGGUUUGUCGCGUCGGGAGUGAAAACUCAGGGCUCAACCCUGAGCGUGCUUCCGAUACGGGCAGACUAGAGGUAUGCAGGGGAGAACGGAAUUCCUGGUGUAGCGGUGGAAUGCGCAGAUAUCAGGAGGAACACCGGUGGCGAAGGCGGUUCUCUGGGCAUUACCUGACGCUGAGGAGCGAAAGCAUGGGGAGCGAACAGGAUUAGAUACCCUGGUAGUCCAUGCCGUAAACGUUGGGCGCUAGGUGUGGGGACCUUCCA
rnacentral:rRNA from 1 species